GAAAGGAAAUAUUCGGUAAAAGAUGGGCCCGCAUCUGAUUAGCUAGUUGGUGAGAUAAUAGCCCACCAAGGCAACGAUCAGUAGCCGACCUGAGAGGGUGACCGGCCACAUUGGGACUGAGACACGGCCCAAACUCCUACGGGAGGCAGCAGUGGGGAAUAUUGCACAAUGGGCGAAAGCCUGAUGCAGCAACGCCGCGUGAAGGAAGACGGUUUUCGGAUUGUAAACUUCUAUCAAUAGGGAAGAAAGAAAUGACGGUACCUAAAUAAGAAGCCCCGGCUAACUACGUGCCAGCAGCCGCGGUAAUACGUAGGGGGCAAGCGUUAUCCGGAAUUACUGGGUGUAAAGGGAGAGUAGGCGGCAAGGUAAGCGAUAUGUGAAAGCCUUAAGCUUAACUUAAGGAUGGCAUAACGAACUAUCUAGCUAGAGUACAGGAGAGGAAAGCGGAAUUCCUAGUGUAGCGGUGAAAUGCGUAGAUAUUAGGAAGAACACCAGUGGCGAAGGCGGCUUUCUGGACUGAAACUGACGCUGAGGCUCGAAAGCGUGGGGAGCGAACAGGAUUAGAUACCCUGGUAGUCCACGCUGUAAACGAUGAGUGCUAGGUGUCGGGGAGGAAUUCCCG
rnacentral:rRNA from 1 species